rnacentral:rRNA from 1 species
CACGUAGGGUGCGAGCGUUGUCCGGAAUUAUUGGGCGUAAAGAGCUCGUAGGCGGUGUGUCGCGUCGGCCGUGAAAACCUGCAGCUUAACUGUGGGCGUCGGUCGAUACGGGCAUCACUGGAGUUCGGCAGGGGAGACUGGAAUUCCUGGUGUAGCGGUGAAAUGCGCAGAUAUCAGGAGGAACACCGGUGGCGAAGGCGGGUCUCUGGGCCGAUACUGACGCUGAGGAGCGAAAGCGUGGGGAGCGAACAGG